rnacentral:rRNA from 1 species
UGGGGAAUAUUGCACAAUGAGGGAAACCCUGAUGCAGCGACGCCGCGUGAGCGAAGAAGGCUUUCGAGUCGUAAAGCUCUGUCCUAUGAGAAGAUAAUGACGGUAUCAUAGGAGGAAGCCCUGGCUAAAUACGUGCCAGCAGCCGCGGUAAUACGUAUGGGGCGAGCGUUGUCCGGAAUUAUUGGGCGUAAAGGGUACGUAGGCGGUUUUUUAAGUCAGGUGUCAAAGCGUGGAGCUUAACUCCAUUAAGCACUUGAAACUGAAAGACUUGAGUGAAGGAGAGGAAAGUGGAAUUCCUAGUGUAGCGGUGAAAUGCGUAGAUAUUAGGAGGAAUACCGGUGGCGAAGGCGACUUUCUGGACUUUUACUGACGCUCAGGUACGAAAGCGUGGGGAGCAAACAGG